rnacentral:rRNA from 1 species
GGAUGAACGCUGGCGGCGUGCCUAAUCCAUGCAAGUCGAGCGAACAGACGAGGAGCUUGCUCCUCUGACGUUAGCGGCGGACGGGUGAGUAACACGUGGAUAACCUACCUAUAAGACUGGGAUAACUUCGGGAAACCGGAGCUAAUACCGGAUAAUAUAUUGAACCGCAUGGUUCAAUAGUGAAAGACGGUUUUGCUGUCACUUAUAGCUGGAUCCGCGCCGCAUUAGCUAGUUGGUAAGGUAACGGCUUACCAAGGCAACGAUGCGUAGCCGACCUGAGAGGGUGAUCGGCCACACUGGAACUGAGACACGGUCCAGACUCCUACGGGAGGCAGCAGUAGGGAAUCUUCCGCAAUGGGCGAAAGCCUGACGGAGCAACGCCGCGUGAGUGAUGAAGGUCUUCGGAUCGUAAAACUCUGUUAUUAGGGAAGAACAAAUGUGUAAGUAACUAUGCACGUCUUGACGGUACCUAAUCAGAAAGCCACGGCUAACUACGUG